UAGCACAUGCGAAAGAUGGAAAUAUGAAAAUUUGAGGCUCGUUUAAGACUGGCCAGUGGCCCUGAGUGACUGGACCAUAAAAAGGAGUGAAGAGGAGCCAGCGAACUCCCAUUGCUUUCCACUAUGCUCAGACCUUGAUGAGAAUCCCAGGCAGAGGCUGGCAGGAGGAGGGCUUCUUCACGGACCUCAGGGCAGUGGGCUUGCCCUGUUGGAGCCUGGCUCUUUGCCCUCUCGAUAAAGGCAUCUGCCAAAAGACCAUUCUCUGCUAUUCUGCCCAACUGUACCCAGAUCUCCAGCAGCUUUCUUCCCAUCAGAAACUCCUGGAUCAAGUUCCCGAGUCUCCAGGAAGCCUCCUUAAGCAAGAAGCAAAGCACCUACUGCAUAUGAGAUACUUUCAAAUCCAUAGGCUUGAUUAUUUCUCACCAUAUCCUUAUAAGGCAAGGAUUUUAGUUCCAUUUUACAGAGGAGGAGACUGAGGUUCAGAGAGGAGAAGAGAGUGGUUCAAGGUGAUCCAACUAGCAAGUGGAAGAGCUGGAGUUUAAAUCCAGGGCUGUUUGGCCCC
ensembl:lncRNA